rnacentral:rRNA from 1 species
GACGGACGCUGGCGGCGUGCUUAACACAUGCAAGUCGAACGGAAAGGCCCCAGCUUGCUGGGGUACUCGAGUGGCGAACGGGUGAGUAACACGUGGGUGAUCUGCCCUGCACUCUGGGAUAAGCCUGGGAAACUGGGUCUAAUACCGGAUAGGACCGUGCUUUAGUGUGUGCGGUGGAAAGUUUUUCGGUGCAGGAUGAGCCCGCGGCCUAUCAGCUUGUUGGUGGGGUAAUGGCCUACCAAGGCGGCGACGGGUAGCCGGCCUGAGAGGGUGUACGGCCACAUUGGGACUGAGACACGGCCCAGACUCCUACGGGAGGCAGCAGUGGGGAAUAUUGCACAAUGGGCGCAAGCCUGAUGCAGCGACGCCGCGUGGGGGAUGACGGCCUUCGGGUUGUAAACCCCUUUCGGCAGGGACGAAGCGUUUGUGACGGUACCUGCAUAAGAAGCACCGGCUAACUACGUG